GUGCAUCUUUGACAGCCCGGGCUCUCUGUUGUGAGAGAACCUGUGUUUUAUUGUUUCAGAUGCAACAGUAAACGUCCCUGCGCUUUCUGCGCGCCUGUUUUCAAUGGUGCCUCAGAUUGAAGAGGGGAAAACAAAC
rfam:Poecilia formosa, whole genome shotgun sequence.